rnacentral:rRNA from 1 species
UGGGGAAUCUUGCGCAAUGGGCGAAAGCCUGACGCAGCAACGCCGCGUGCGGGAAGAAGGUCUUAGGGUUGUAAACCGCUUUCAGUAGGGACGAAGGCAAAUAGGUUAAUAGCCUAUGCGUUGACGGUACCUACAGAAGAAGGUCCGGCUAACUACGUGCCAGCAGCCGCGGUAAUACGUAGGGACCGAGCGUUGUCCGGAAUCAUUGGGCGUAAAGAGCGUGUAGGCGGCCAAUUAAGUCCUGCGUGAAAUCUCGGGGCUCAACCCCGAGCGGUCGUGGGAAACUGGUUGGCUAGAGUGCGGGAGAGGAGAGUGGAAUUCCUGGUGUAGCGGUGAAAUGCGCAGAUAUCAGGAAGAACACCCGUGGCGAAGGCGGCUCUCUGGAACGCAACUGACGCUGAGACGCGAAAGCGUGGGGAGCAAACAG